CUGCAAGUGCUAUAUGUAUGCUAGUGGGGGUAGGGUUAGGGGUAGGGGAUUGCCAAAGUCUCAAAUUCCCAAAGUCCAGAAGUGCUGAAGUCCCGAAUUUUUGAAUUGCCGAACCAAACCACCGAACCAGACCGAAGUUCAGAACCGAAUUAUUUUGCCCAUGCACAUCCCUAGUAUAGAGUGUGAGUAGUGUGUUAAUGCAGGGAAUGCACUGUGUACAUAGGGGUGUAAGGUGUUUUUGUGUUAGUGCAGGUGCUGUAGUGUGUAUAUAAGGGUAUAGAGUGUAUGUGUGUG